UGGUGCACCUCGUAUUCUAUGGGCCUUCUUUCAAGACCCUGAAAUAAAUUUUGGAGACCCGUCAUUCCGAUGGCGGGUG
rnacentral:snRNA from 14 species